rnacentral:rRNA from 1 species
CCUACGGGUGGCAGCAGUGAGGAAUAUUGGUCAAUGGGCGCUAGCCUGAACCAGCCAAGUAGCGUGAAGGAUGACUGCCCUAUGGGUUGUAAACUUCUUUUAUCCGGGAAUAAAGUGGACCACGUAUGAUUGUUUGCAUGUACCUCAUGAAUAAGGACCGGCUAAUUCCUUGCCAGCAGCCGCGGUAAUACGGAGGGUCCGAGCGUUAUCCGGAUUUAUUGGGUUUAAAGGGAGCGUAGGCGGGUUGUUAAGCGUGCUGUGAAAGUUUGGGGCUCAACCAUGAGAGUGCGGUUGAUACUGGAGACCUUGAGUGCGCGGAAGGUAGGCGGAAUUCGUGGUGUAGCGGUGAAAUGCUUAGAUAUCACGAAGAACUCCGAUUGCGAAGGCAGCCUGCUGGAGCGUUACUGACGCUGAAGCUCGAAAGUGUGGGUAUCGAACAGGAUUAGAUACCCCUGUAGUC